CAAUAUAACUCAUUAACUAUGUUGGUUUCGGUUUAUGCAAGAAUUUGGGCCUAUCUCGUCACGUGUGUAUAUUGUAUUUUUUCCCGCACAACCAAUAGCAAUGUCUAAAUUGAGCAUUUGCUCAAGUAACGGAUGGAUAACUCAACCACAAACUUGCUAUUGGUUAUUUAAGCGAAAAUACAAUACACACGUGACGAGAUAGGACCAAAUUCUUGC
rnacentral:lncRNA from 1 species